rnacentral:rRNA from 1 species
ACGAGUGGCGAACGGGUGAGUAACACGUGGGUGAUCUGCCCUGCACUUCGGGAUAAGCCUGGGAAACUGGGUCUAAUACCGGGAUAGGACCAUGGACUUCACGGUUUGUGGUGGAAAGCUUUUGCGGUGUGGGAUGGGCCCGCGGCCUAUCAGCUUGUUGGUGGGGUAAUGGCCUACCAAGGCGACGACGGGUAGCCGGCCUGAGAGGGUGUCCGGCCACACUGGGACUGAGAUACGGCCCAGACUCCUACGGGAGGCAGCAGUGGGGAAUAUUGCACAAUGGGCGCAAGCCUGAUGCAGCGACGCCGCGUGAGGGAUGACGGCCUUCGGGUUGUAAACCUCUUUCAAUAGGGACGAAGCGCAAGUGACGGUACCUAUAGAAGAAGCACCGGCCAACUACGUG